GGUUCUGUGGUGUAAUGGUUAGCACUCUGCACUUUGAAUCUGGCAAGUCUGGGUUCAAGUCUUGGCAGAGCCU
rnacentral:tRNA from 1 species